GCUGCUUCUCUCCUUGUGCCCUUUCGCUCGUUCAGAUUUAUCCUUGUACACCAGCAUGAGUAAACAGUCUGCCACCGGGGAGGGCUUGCGCAGCACCAGCCACCUACUCUUCCACUUUUUUCCAUCUCUCAACUUGACGUGACCCUCCACCACCACGGAAUCCGUCAUCUUCAGUCAUGAUUCCGGACAGCUGCGCCCGGCUCGCUGCUCCCUCCCCGCGCUCUGGCCGAG
rnacentral:lncRNA from 1 species